rnacentral:rRNA from 1 species
UAAAAUGAGAGUUUGAUCCUGGCUCAGGACGAACGCUGGCGGCGUGCCUAAUACAUGCAAGUAGAACGCUGAGGACUGGUGCUUGCACUGGUCUAAGGAGUUGCGAACGGGUGAGUAACGCGUAGGUAACCUACCUCAUAGCGGGGGAUAACUAUUGGAAACGAUAGCUAAUACCGCAUGACAAUAGGGUACACAUGUACCCUAUUUAAAAGGGGCAAAUGCUUCACUAUGAGAUGGACCUGCGUUGUAUUAGCUAGUUGGUAAGGUAACGGCUUACCAAGGCGACGAUACAUAGCCGACCUGAGAGGGUGAUCGGCCACACUGGGACUGAGACACGGCCCAGACUCCUACGGGAGGCAGCAGUAGGGAAUCUUCGGCAAUGGGGGG